rnacentral:piRNA from 1 species
UCGAUUCUGUAUCUUGUGCGGAAUGAGC